rnacentral:rRNA from 1 species
CCGCUGAAUUUAAGCAUAUAACUAAGCGGAGGAAAAGAAACUAACUAGGAUUUCCCCAGUAACGGCGAGUGAAGCGGGAAGAGCCCAGCACCGAAUCCCCCAGUGUCAUGCUGGCGGGACCUGUGGUGUGUGGGACGCCACCAGUCGCAUGUGCGGGCACCGAAGUCCUCCUGAUUGAGGCUUCACCCAGAGCGGGUGUAAGGCCUUUGCCGGUGCCUCGCUGUGCGGCCGCGAGCGUCUCAGGAGUCGGGUUGUUUGGGAAUGCAGCCCUAAGCGGGUGGUAAACUCCAUCUAAGGCUAAAUACUGGCACGAGUCCGAUAGCGGACAAGUACCGUGAGGGAAAGUUGAAAAGAACUUUGAGAAGAGAGUUCA